CAAAUAUCAAGGAAGCUCUCUGGAAAAGUAGGAAACCAGGCCAGCUCUGGUUUGGUAUUCUCUGUCGUAGGUAUUGUCUCCAACCUGACCUCAGGAACUCUGUAUCUCGUCAUACAAGUUCUAUUUCCUAAAGGAAGUGAGUCUGCCGAUUGUCAAGAGUGUGGGAGUUACGUACAAAACGUGUUCUCAUUCGUGCCCAGCUCACUGGCUGCUUUUAGCUUGCUGCUUGUUAUAAU